AAUAAUCUUCAGGGCGGGGUGUAAGUCCCCACCGGCGGUAAAGCCCGCGAGCCGAAAGGUUGAUCUGGUUAGAUUCCAGAGCCGACAGUAUAGUCUGGAUGAAAGAAGAGGUUU
rnacentral:ncRNA from 2 species